rnacentral:lncRNA from 1 species
CACUAUCUAAUUUCCAAUCUUUUAACCCUCUGUUUUAUCCCUGCCAUCGCCGCACUAUCGAUCCAAGUUUCUCAAAUGAAUCUUGAUGAUUUACGCCAAUUGUGGCUUCACCUUCAAUACAAUCUAGUCAGCAUCAUCAUUUGCUCUGCUAUUCUAGUCUUCGGGUUAACAGUCUAUAUCAUGACCCGACCCCGACCGGUUUACCUUGUCGAUUAUUCUUGUUACCGUCCUCCCGACCAUCUUAAAGCCCCGUACGGUCGUUUCUUGGAGCACUCUAGGUUGACCGGGGAUUUUGAUGAGUCGUCACUCGAGUUCCAGCGCAAGAUUUUGGAGCGCUCGGGGCUGGGAGAAGAG